CCUACGGGAGGCAGCAGUGAGGAAUAUUGGUCAAUGGGCGCGAGCCUGAACCAGCCAAGCAGCGUGAAGGAUGACGGUACUACGGGUUGUAAACCUCUUUUAUCAGGGAACAAAGUGUGGCACGCGUGCCCUUUUGUGUGUACUUUAUGAAUAAGGAUCGGCUAACUCCGUGCCAGCAGCCGCGGUAAUACGGAGGAUCCGAGCGUUAUCCGGAUUUAUUGGGUUUAAAGGGGGCGGAGGAGGUUUGUUAAGUCAGUUGUGAAAGCUCGGGGCUCAACCGUAAAAUUGCAAUUGAUACGGGCAGUCUAGAGUAGAGUGGAGGGAGGCGGAAUGCGGGGUGUAGCGGUGAAAUGCUUAGAUAUCACGAAGAACUCCGAUUGCGAAGGCAGCUUACUAAACUGCCACUGACAUUGAUGCUCGAAAGUGUGGGUAUCAAACAGGAUUAGAUACCUGAGUAGUC
rnacentral:rRNA from 1 species